rnacentral:rRNA from 1 species
CCAAUAGCGUAUAUUUAAGUUGUUGCAGUUAAAAAGCUCGUAGUUGGAUUUUGGGUGGGAGGGGUUGGUCCGCUCUUGCGGGCGUGUACCGGCCCUUUCGCCUUUCUUGCCGGGUAUGCGUUCCUUGCCUUUAUUGGCUGGGAUCCAGAGCCGGCGCUGUUACUUUGAAAAAAUUAGAGUGUUCAAAGCAGGCCUGUGCUCUGAACAUAUUAGCAUGGAAUAACGCGAUAGGACUCUGGUCCUAUUUCGUUGGUCUUCGGGAUUGGAGUAAUGAUUAAUAGAGACGGUUGGGGGCAUUCGUAUUCCAUUGUCAGAGGUGAAAUUCUUGGAUUUAUGGAUGACGAACUUCUGCGAAAGCAUUUGCCAAGGACGUUCUCAUUAAUCAAGAACGAAAGUUGGGGGAUCGAAGACGAUCAGAUACCGUCCUAGUCUCAACCAUAAACGAUGCCGACUAGGGAUUGGCGGAUGUCUAUUGGAUGACUCUGCCAGCACCUUGUGAGAAAUCAAAGUUUACGGGUUCCGGGGGGAGUAUGGUCGCAAGGCUGAAACUUAAAGGAAUUGACGGAAGGGCACCACCAGGCGUGGAGCCUGCGGCUUAAUUUGACUCAACACGGGGAAACUCACCAGGUCCAGACAUAGCAAGGAUUGACAGAUUGAGAGCUCUNUCUUGAUUCUAUGGGUGGUG